GACGAACGCUGGCGGCGUGCUUAACACAUGCAAGUCGAGCGGUAAGGCCCUUUCGGGGGUACACGAGCGGCGAACGGGUGAGUAACACGUGGGUGACCUGCCCUCAGCUCUGGGAUAAGCCCGGGAAACUGGGUCUAAUACCGGAUAUGACUCCAUGACGCAUGUUGUGGGGUGGAAAGCCUUGUGCGGCUGAGGAUGGGCCCGCGGCCUAUCAGCUUGUUGGUGGGGUGAUGGCCACCAAGCGACGACGGGUAGCCGGCCUGAGAGGGCGACCGGCCACACUGGGACUGAGAUACGGCCCAGACUCCUACGGGAGGCAGCAGUGGGGAAUCUUGCGCAAUGGCGAAAGCCUGACGCAGCGACGCCGCGUGAGGGAUGACGGCCUCGGUUGUAACGUCUU
rnacentral:rRNA from 1 species